AGGACAUUGUCCACAGCGCCAGGCUUCCUUUGCCAGAUCCCACUGUCUGUAAACAUAGGAAGGCAGACAGGACUUGUGAUAUGACUUCCCACACUUGCAGUUAAUCCAGAACAAAUCAAUGCCAUCACGAAUUUCGAUCGCAGUGCAUGACAGCAUGCAGACUUGGCAAAGUACUUCAUGGGUGGUACAUGACAUAUCUUCUGAAUGUAGAAUGCCAUCAUUUUGGCACAGAUGACAAUGCCAUGUACCACCAGUGAGUAGACUCAAGUCAACAUCUGCAUGCUGGUCAUGAGUCAGACACUCUCGGUGAUACCACCUGCUACACCUUGCAUUAUCACAGCCAACCCAGAAAAUCCCACUCUCUUCAUCACUGGUAUGACCUUGGAUAUUGCAUAUAGGACAGGUGAAUUCUGGGGACAUGCAACUUUGGUAAUUCUGUUUCAACAUGAUGCUUGCCCUGAAAGUCAAGGAAAGGUUAGAAGUUAGUUUCCUCUUCUCCUCUUUCUCCUUCAGCUGCUCAUAGAUUUGUUCUCCUGGGAUUAAAGACAGAUCAAUUAAGAAAGAACACAGAAAUGGAAAGAACAAGGAAAUAUAAGAAGAUAAAGAACAAGGAAAUAUAAGAGGACAUACAAUAAGUUUCUUGACUGAGACUAGUGUUAUUGGAGGUGGACCAAUGAUCGGGACCAGCACAGCUGCCAAUUCCUGUGGUAUGAUGCCUUGGGUCACCAGAGGAUGGCCCAUGACAAACUGACCACAAGAAUGGCAGAGAGGGUCUUGCCGUGAUGAAAUGUUGUCUCCCCCUGGUCCCAUGUUGUUGAUGGGAUCGAACUCUGGAUCUUUGGGCGCUAGCUGUGACUUAUCGAUGGCAUCUUUAUCAAACGGGAAAAUGCCACAUUUCCUGAAUCCAGCCUUGAUAUUGUGAGGACUGAAGACCUUGUCCACAGCAGCUUGAAGUACCUGAGCUAGUCUUGAUGAAUUAAAAAAAGAAGCGGCCUGAAAAGCGCAACAUCUAGCGGUUGAAGGAGAUGGGUCGUAUGGGGUGGCAAGCAGAAGAACUCUAUCUGGUUGGCUCUAGCCAUAUCAAUAAGUGGAAUCGAAA